UAUGAAGUGACAUGCACAACAUGAUACAUUUUGCGCAGCAACAGACAUAUUGGGCUCACAGAAUACAGAAACCUUACGAAGACAGCAUCAUGUUCAAAAAUGAAUAUCAGGGAGGACCACAUGUUGAUGUAUUUAGCGCACAAGGAAAGGAUCCAGUGGCCAAGUGGAGACUCUUCGGUGGUCAAUCAGCAAUCUGGAAAGACUUUGAUAAAGAAGUGAAGAGUUUCGUCUUUGUCCUUGAAGGAAGCAGUCAGACUAUCAAGAUGCAGCUGCCUAAGGAGAACAAGCAAAUGCUUGGACUCAUCCAGAGGUUCCUGGUCCUUCAAUUGUACAUUCCGCUAGGACAAGAUUUCUCUGCUGAACUUCUAAUAACCGAUUUGGCAAAUAUUAAAAGAAGAUUAUAUUUAUCGACUGUUCACAAGGAGUUAUCCGCGACACCUUUACAUGCAAAAAUCCCGCUCUCCAUCAUUAGGCGUAGAGUUUGGUGCAAUCUCUGUAUUGACCUUGUUGCCUUCACAAGUGGGAUAUUUAAAAGUGCAGUUUUUCAGUCUUUGGAUGGAAUCACUAUUUCAGCCAACUGUAAACUAAGGAAGAUUUAUACCAUGAAGCUGAAGCCCCAGGACACUGUAGAGCAAGAUAUAUAUGAAUCAGUAUUAUCAGACUGCGAACCCACUGAUACAAUUCCUCGAAGUUGCCAAAUAACCACUGAUGUGAAGCAGGUCACUCAGGUGCUAGACCUUUCAAGAGUACGUAACAAUGAAGUUCGAGAAGAUGGGAAAUUUGUGUUAUCAACAGAAGCAGAUCUGCUCACACACAGAGGACAAGGUAGCUCUCGAGACUUUAAGAGGGGAGAUAAAUCUCACAUUGCUUUUGGAUCCAAAGUUUUGGGACCUCCUCCAGCCCCAGGGAGAAAAGCCAGUGCCAGAUCUCCAGGAGAGUCAACAAGGUCUACGAGUAGACAUGAAAGGUCCUUGCAACUGCUGACACAGGAGAAAGGAGCCAGUAGUUUGGGGCAUACGACAGACACAAGGAUCAUGUCCCCCACACUUUAUCAUCCUUCAGACCAGAGGAAUAAAGAAAACAUACAGCAAACAAAAAAGAAGGAGCCACGACCCAGAGGAAUAGAUUACCAUCCACAUCCACCUACGGAUCCUCUUACUAAUGAGAAAGGCAGGAGACUGAGAACUGUUGGGAGUGCAAAGAAGGAACAGUCAAAACCAGUGCCUGACAGCUCUUCAGUGGGACACUGCAGAAAUGAAGAUAAGCUCUCUGUUCAGAUCCAUAUGCCGUCCUGCGAGAGAGAAAACAGACCAAAGACAUCAAGCAACGCAGGCGCAGACAUCACAGAUGACUGGAUUUUUCCUGACAGUUUCCAAGAUGUAUCCAAACUGUCUGACACUCUACAUCAAACAUACAUCGGCAAUUUAUGUGAGCAGUUGGCAGGUAACAGCGAAACUGACACGGUCUAUCCUGAAGAAAGGACCCCCGGGGACCCCGACAACAUUUUCAGUUUCUCUUCAAUGUCUGGCUCAGUGCAUCAUGGGAAACUUCAGGGUCAGUCAUUUGACAGGGAUACAGUCUCUCUGGAAGGCUUGGAACAUGACAGACGCGGGGCACGGAUGGAAGAUGAUUUCUAUGGAAGUGACAACAGCAUUGAGUGUAUAUCUUCUGCACAGUUUCAACACUCUAUACACUUUGACAACAUGUCUAAUAAAGAUAAUGUUACUGACCUACCCUCAGAAAAUCCUGAGGAAAACCAAAAAAUUCAGUCUCUAGUAGACAGGUCCAUUCAAUCGGCAAUGCAGACUGCCAUGUCAUCUAUGCAGGAAUCCAUAACAAAAUCGGUGGUUACAGCCUUAACCCAGAACAAACCACAAAAUCCUUCCCAGACUUUACCUACUAACCCAUCUGACAUUUAUUGGUCAGCGGAGGAUUCUACUUCCCAGAUGAUGCAGGGGUUAAGGAAAUCGGGUAAAGCAUCACAUAAAAGGCAUCACAUUCAUCAUACCGGUCCGUCCCAUUCUAAAAAAGUUAUUUUAGUGGAGGACCAGGGUGAACAUUCCAUGCCACCUAAUAAGGAAAAGAUUAUUGUUUGUGAUGAGAGAUCACUAAAAAUACCCUCUGCCCGGGAGGAGUUGAUAUUGCAACGGGUUGAAUUGGCCUCAAAAAGGCAGAAACCAGAUUCCUAUCGCACCUCGUCCAGUGACUCUUCCUCUGACGAGGAGGCUCCAUCGGGAGAGGAUGCAGAUUCUGAGUAUGAGGAGGUGGUUGACACACAGGGAAAUACACCCCUUGAAAAGGAGGAAUCCACUGACACUCUUAUUGAUGGAUCUGGUGAUCCAUACUUUGAUCCAGGACAAAUAAAACACCCUCGCUCAGGGGAAUGGGGUCACACAUCCUCUUGUUACAACAUUUUUGAGUCUUUGGAUCCAUAAACCUCUAGACAAAAAUGACGCCAGUAAAUUGAGAUCAGAAUGUCCGAGACCGUCCCUUCCCAAAAAAUUUGCUAAUACUCCAGAAUUAGAUCCUACCCUAGUAAAGUUCCUCUUAAAGUCAGGGAAACAUCUGAAGAAGGGAGUUGACAGAUCUUAUAGAUUCUGUCAAGACAAACUUCUAGACCUUUUGGGUCCCUUGGCAAAAAUUCUAGAUCUAACGGAAGAGGCGGUCUCUUCAAAUACCCCCAUAGAUUUGAAUGUACUCAAAGGAUGGGCCCAACGAGCCAUAGUAAUGUUUGGCAAUGUUAAUACAGCCAUUUCUAGUGAAAGGAGAAGGUCGAUUUUGAUGAAGCUAGAUCCCCAACUAAUGCAUUUGGCCUCAUCUCAACCGCCUUUUUCUACUGAAGGCCUCCUCUUCGGUGACUCUUUCAUCAAAGAGAUUAAUAAAUAUGUAUCCCUGUUUACAUCACUAGACAAAGCCCAAUCCUCACUCAAAAAGGUUUUCCAACCAAAAAUUUUUCCAAAAGCUGGGAAACGCAAGGGCCGAUUUCCCAGCAGACCUUCUCACGAAAGUCAAUUCUCUAGAGGCCCUCCCCGUUCAGAACACUUUACCCAUCCAGUCAAUACAUACCAUCAAUCUCCAUUCUUCCCACAACGAGGCAGACCUUGGAGGGCGAGAGGCCAACGUGGUUUCCCCAGAUCAAGACCCUCUUCUGUUUAAUUCUACGAUCCUGUUUUCAAGUUUCAUGACUGGUUAAAGUCUAAGUUCAGUUCAAGUUAUGUUCCGGUUAUUACAUUUGGACAUCAAGAAAGAGGAAGAGAAUCACCUGUACCUCACCUUUAUAACCUCUAUCUGACACCUGAUUGGACUAUCUACCUAAGUUCAUUUGCAUACCUACUCUGUGAACAUUUUUUCUUUGUUAACUCUCUUGCUGCUGGAUGUCAGUAAAAGAAAGAU